UGAGGAAUAUUGGUCAAUGGGCGAGAGCCUGAACCAGCCAAGUCGCGUGAAGGAAUACGGCCCUAUGGGUCUUAAACUUCUUUUGUAUAGGGGUAAAGGUAUGUACGUGUACAUAUUUGCAAGUACUAUACGAAUAAGGAUCGGCUAACUCCGUGCCAGCAGCCGCGGUAAUACGGAGGAUGCAAGCGUUAUCCGGAUUCAUUGGGUUUAAAGGGUGCGUAGGCGGCUUGGUAAGUCAGCGGUGAAAUUCCAGUGCUCAACAUUGGCCGUGCCGUUGAUACUGCUGGGCUUGAAUGCGGAUGCCGUGGGAGGAAUGUGUGGUGUAGCGGUGAAAUGCAUAGAUAUCACACAGAACACCGAUUGCGAAGGCAUCUCACGAAUCCGCAAUUGACGCUGAGGCACGAAAGUGUGGGGAUCAAACAGGAUUAGAUACCCUGGUAGU
rnacentral:rRNA from 1 species